GGAAGAAAAAAAGGAACAGGUAAGCAACUUUACAGAGAAUAAAUCCAAGAAUAUUCCUGCAUUUUAUAUUAUCAUGAAGGAAUUAGUAGAAGCGGGUAAUAAAGCCAGAUCUCUCUCUGACUGCCUACUUUCAAACCCCCACUUAAUGGAUUUGAGCUCCUCUAACUACUGGCAGUGGUAAGUAAGUGUAAGAGUUCUCGGAGAAAAUGGAGGCUAGAAAGAAACCCAUUGGCUUGGUUCUGAGGAAAAGUCUGUUUUGGAACAGAAACAAUGAGAUAUCCAAGACUUCAGUUAAAAGUUCAGCUCCAAGUCCUAUUCCAACCACUGCUGGCUUCCUACAGCCUUUCUAAACUAGUCUGGCAGCUUCAGCUGCAAAAUGUCACUGUCACAAAGGCUCCAGAAGGUCAUUUCUGUAUGGAGCUGUAAGCACAGGUUAACUGUUCCCAUACCCUGGUUAGAGGAAAGUCAUGGAAAUCUGGGCAGCCCUCAAAUGUUGUUUCCAUUUCAUUAGAAAACUCUUUGUUUUAUUUACAUGAGCAAGAGGGUGUGCUUUUAAAACACACUCUUUGGGGAAUAGGAAGAAAUUUCUGCACAAAGAAUUCCCCUGGAACGAAUUAAGAGGAACAUGAUCCAACCAUGAUCUGAGGAAGAACUAUUCUCAGUAAAAAAAAAACAACAAAACAAACAAACCCAAAAAACCCCAAAACUUAAAAUAACCUAGAGCAAAGGAUUCUUCUUCCAUUGAAAAAUUCUGAUUCAAUCUGUAAUCCACCCUCUAUACACAACAAAGCCCACAGGUGGUAAAUCCAGAAUUACAGCUCACCUAUGAUACCAUGCUUCUCCCUAUAACCAACAAAAGAAGCUGUAAUUUUGACACCAAGAAGUUACUGCAAUUCAGUAUUUGAAAAUCUCUAUUUAAAUUUCUUCAGUCGAUAGCAAUAUAUUCCAAAUCUGAAAGCAGAUGCAAAACUGGGGUAAGUUCCACAUAUAUUUACAUGUAUAACUAAGACUUUGAAGUUCUUUUAGACUAUUAAAAGUGAAAUGUGGACAUAAUUAUUUAUUUCUUCCUACUAAUUUUCAGGUUUUUUACAAGGGCUUUUUUAAACUUGAAUGUUCCAUUCUGUAACCAGCUGAAGUUUAAAUAUUUUUUGAUAUUAAAAGGUAUUAAGGUUGAAAUGUUUCCAGUUUCAUAAUCCCUUAUUUAUAAUGCAAUGUAAGAGUUGAGUUUCACCCUUUCUGAUAAACCAGAGUUUAUCCAAGUUUUGCAGACAAAUCAAGAUUAAUGAUGAUGCAGUGCAGUCUUCUAAUGGAAAAAAACUGGUAUUACAGAGAGAGGAAAUUACUGAGGCAACAUCCUAAUGUAGAAAUAGCACUUGUAUCAAUGAAAACCGCAAGCCCUAAAUCAGGCAUGCUGCACUGCACUGGAGGCCUGAGCUUCUCACAGAAUUUCUAAGGAGGGCUUUACUGAUGCUCAGCACUGGGAGCAGAUGGCUUCCCCUCCUGUCAGGGACUGGUUGGUGCUCCACACCACCAGCGAGGUGAGCAAAGCAUCUGGUCCCAUUUGCCAUUGCUCUCAUCUGGCACUACAUGCCUGCUCUCCUUGACAAAAAUAGUUCAGUACUUGAACGCUUCCAGGACCUACUCAGCCAGAGCUGCUGCUCUGUGCCUCUCCCAGCCCUGCUGUGCUUGUCCUCCCACGCGUCUGCCUCGGGGAACAGCACAUUGCUUCAGCAUCCAGGCUUUAAACACACAGUCAUUAAACCCUGGGUAGAUACCACAUUGGAGUUACACCAGAAACUACAUCUGGGGAUUGAGGUGAAAGGUUUCAGACUAAAUGUGUCUCCAGAAUAAGAAAAACCUUGAGUCAUUUACUUAUGGUAAGAGAGAUUUCAGGUAUCUCCCAGUUACUUUUAAUUCAAACUGUACUUUUAUUGUUAUUAUCAUCAGAUUCCUAGCAUCCUAAUUCUAAAAGGUUGCAGGAAAAAUCUGAAAGUAUUCCAGAGCAGGACUGGAAGCCUGUCUCCCAAGGCUCACUUCCAGGCAGUUACCUUUACAAACUGAAAUGUUAAUAUUUGCUCACCACUUAUCAGGAUUUAAAAGGAGCGUAAUGGUAUCACAGUGAAGUGGUGACUAAGAAUUAAAUGGACUUCAUAAAUAUAUCAAUUAUCUUCUUAAAGCUUUAUACAUUUUUUAAAAACUUUAUACUCACCAACAUGUCUUGGAAAAACAUGACUUCAAGAAUUACUUUGCAAACAGUUGAUUCUUAUUAAGUAUAUCAGAUCAUGGAGCUGUCAACAAAAGCACUGCUUCCAUGAUAACAUUUGCUACUGUACAAUACAAAGCAUAUUAAUUUUUACACGGCUGAUUUUCUUAGAUAUAUUUACUCCAUCACUCCACGUCACAGUUACACAACCAAAUAAAAAUUAAAGGGAAAAUUUAAUGAGAACACCGAAACUGCUUCUAGAACAAGAACUUUCCUACACAGCAGCUAUGCUACUGCAUUCUACACAGACUGCAGUGUAAAUUAACAGUAGCUUCAACUGUUUUUAACAUGAUGUAGUAUGACACUGCAGCACUACCGGUGCAGUGUCAAUUACAUUUCCUUACACCAGAAUGUGCAGUGAAGGUACAGUGUAAGGCCUUGUGCAGAAGAAAUUCAGAGAGCACUGGGGGGUGUGCGUUGUGCUUUCAGCCUGACUUCAGGCUCAGGAGAUGUCAUAACGAGGCAUCUUUCUAAUUUUAAACAGGGGAGAGUUAACUUUACCAUUCCCCGGUCCUGGAAGUUAGUGGCUUCGCACGUACGUAGGAAGGAAAGAAUGCCACCUGCUGAAUGACUCCUGAAGGUUAUUCAGUACAGCCACCUCCAGAGAGCUGCUGGGAGGCAGCCGGAGUGCUUAACGAGAGUUACUGAAUAACAAUUGGGUAAUUAUUUUUAUUGUAACAAUUGUUUUAGCAAUUGUUAGCAGCACGGCCACACGCCGGGGUGCGAGGCCUGGAAUGCGGGGAAACAGCGGCGAGCCUGCACCACCGGGCUCCUGCCGUGCCCGCAGCACGGACGCCCCGAUCCCGGCUCAGCCGGUUAUUCCGGGAGGGGACCGAAGGCCGGAGAAACGAGCUGUCCCGGCGGGGCCGCGCUCCCGGAGCCCUGCCCUCCAAGUG